rnacentral:rRNA from 1 species
CCUACGGGAGGCAGCAGUGGGGAAUAUUGCACAAUGGGGGAAACCCUGAUGCAGCGACGCCGCGUGAGUGAGGAAGUAUUUCGGUAUGUAAAGCUCUAUCAGCAGGGAAGAAAAUGACGGUACCUGACUAAGAAGCCCCGGCUAACUACGUGCCAGCAGCCGCGGUAAUACGUAGGGGGCAAGCGUUAUCCGGAUUUACUGGGUGUAAAGGGAGCGUAGACGGCUAAUCAAGUCAGAAGUGAAAACCCAGGGUUCAACUUUGGGACUGCUUUUGAAACUGAGUAGCUAGAGUACAGGAGAGGUAAGCGGAAUUCCUAGUGUAGCGGUGAAAUGCGUAGAUAUUAGGAGGAACACCAGUGGCGAAGGCGGCUUACUGGACUGUAACUGACGUUGAGGCUCGAAAGCGUGGGGAGCAAACAGGAUUAGAUACCCUAGUAGUC